rnacentral:tRNA from 1 species
ACCGGCGUAGCUCAUUGGCAGAGCGGCUGUCUCCAAAGCAGCGCGUAGGGUGUUCGAUUCACUCCGCCGGUG